rnacentral:rRNA from 1 species
AUUGAACGCUGGCGGAAUGCUUUACACAUGCAAGUCGAACGGCAGCACGGACUUCGGUCUGGUGGCGAGUGGCGAACGGGUGAGUAAUACAUCGGAACGUGCCCAGGCGUGGGGGAUAACUACUCGAAAGAGUGGCUAAUACCGCAUACGAUCUGAGGAUGAAAGCGGGGGACCGAAAGGCCUCGCGCGUUUGGAGCGGCCGAUGGCAGAUUAGGUAGUUGGUGGGGUAAAGGCUUACCAAGCCCGCGAUCUGUAGCUGGUCUGAGAGGAUGAUCAGCCACACUGGGACUGAGACACGGCCCAGACUCCUACGGGAGGCAGCAGUGGGGAAUUUUGGACAAUGGGCGCAAGCCUGAUCCAGCCAUUCCGCGUGCAGGACGAAGGCCCUCGGGUUGUAAACUGCUUUUGUACAGAACGAAAGGUCUUGGUUAAUACCUGAGGCCGCUGACGGUACUGUAAGAAUAAGCACCGGCUAACUACGUGCCAGCAGCCG